UACGUAGGUGGCAAGCGUUAUCCGGAAUUAUUGGGCGUAAAGCGCGCGCAGGCGGUCCUUUAAGUCUGAUGUGAAAGCCCACGGCUCAACCGUGGAGGGUCAUUGGAAACUGGAGGACUUGAGUGCAGAAGAGGAGAGCGGAAUUCCACGUGUAGCGGUGAAAUGCGUAGAGAUGUGGAGGAACACCAGUGGCGAAGGCGGCUCUCUGGUCUGUAACUGACGCUGAGGCGCGAAAGCGUGGGGAGCGAACAGG
rnacentral:rRNA from 1 species